UACGUAGGGGGCAAGCGUUGUCCGGAUUUACUGGGCGUAAAGGAUGCGUAGGUGGAUAUUUAAGUGGGAUGUGAAAUACCCGGGCUUAACCUGGGUGCUGCAUUCCAAACUGGAUAUCUAGAGUGCAGGAGAGGUAAGUGGAAUUCCUAGUGUAGCGGUGAAAUGCGUAGAGAUUAGGAAGAACACCAGUGGCGAAGGCGACUUACUGGACUGUAACUGACACUGAGGCAUGAAAGCGUGGGGAGCAAACAGG
rnacentral:rRNA from 1 species